CAAGAGUGAGCACUUCACCACUCAGCAGAUGACGACCAACCAAGGUGAAAUGCAACAAUUCAAGGCCUCAAGCCAAGCUAAACUGGACGAACAAAGGGAUGCUAUCAUUAAGCUCAAGGCCGCUCUGGAAAAGUCUGAGCAGGACCUGAAGGCCGGUCAUCUCCAGUGGCAACAGGAAAAGGUUUCCCUCAAAGAACACUGUGUCCACUUAUCUCAUUCUGAGGGUCAACACAUGGGCACGCAGACCCAUGCAGUUGAUCAAGAGAUGGACGAACAGAGAGAGGAGACAAUCAGGAUCUUAGCCACUCUAAAAGCAACACAGGACGAGCUCCAAGCUGAGCGGAUGAAGGGAGAAAAACAGGCCCUUCAAAAUGACAUGGAGGCUAUGAUGUUGAAGGUCCGUGCUGAAUUGAAGCUGGCUAAAACUAACAGAGGAGACAAUCAGGAUCUUAGCCACUCUAAAAGCAACACAGGACGAGCUCCAAGCUGAGCGGAUGAAGGGAGAAAAACAGGCCCUUCAAAAUGACAUGGAGGCUAUGAUGUUGAAGGUCCGUGCUGAAUUGAAGCUGGCUAAAACUAACGUGGAGUUUGAAUUGGAGAGCCAACUGGAAAAUGAGAGGGCUCAAACAAAGGAGCAACAAAUUGAAAUAUCAAAGUUGGCAGAAGCUCUUAAAAACAAAGAGGAGGCAGUAAAGCAAGUAAAGGAAUUAUUCCAGGCUUUCCAAGAGGACACGAUGAGCAAACAGAGAGCGGAAAGAGACAAGAUGGCUGCAGCCCUGAAAGCAUCACAGGACCUUCUCAAGAGUGAGCACUUCACCACUCAGCAGAUGACGACCAACCAAGGUGAAAUGCAACAAUUCAAGGCCUCAAGCCAAGCUAAACUGGACGAACAAAGGGAUGCUAUCAUUAAGCUCAAGGCCGCUCUGGAAAAGUCUGAGCAGGACCUGAAGGCCGGUCAUCUCCAGUGGCAACAGGAAAAGGUUUCCCUCAAAGAACACUGUGUCCACUUAUCUCAUUCUGAGGGUCAACACAUGGGCACGCAGACCCAUGCAGUUGAUCAAGAGAUGGACGAACAGAGAGAGGAGACAAUCAGGAUCUUAGCCACUCUAAAAGCAACACAGGACGAGCUCCAAGCUGAGCGGAUGAAGGAAGAAAAACAGGCCCUUCAAAAUGACAUGGAGGCUAUGAUGUUGAAGGUCCGUGCUGAAUUGAAGCUGGCUAAAACUAACGUGGAGUUUGAAUUGGAAAGUCAACUGGAAAUUGAGAGGGCUCAAACAAAGAAGCAACAAAUUGAAAUAUCAACGUUGGCAGAAGCUCUUAAAAACCAGCAGGAGGCAGUAAAGCAAGUAAAGGAAUUAUUCCAGGCUUUCCAAGAGGACACGAUGAGCAAACAGAGAGCGGAAAGAGACAAGAUGGCUGCAGC
ensembl:lncRNA